rnacentral:ncRNA from 1 species
AACUCUACAUGAAAAAGAUAAAUCUUCCUCGAAACAGAAGUUUUUGUGUUAGAUUUUCUAUUUUUAUUUUGAGUU